UACGGAGGGUGCGAGCGUUGUCCGGAAUCACUGGGCGUAAAGGGCGCGUAGGCGGCGCGGGAAGUCAUCGGUGAAAGUUCAGGGCUCAACUCUGAAUCGGCCGGUGAUACUCUCGUGCUCGAGCACUGUAGAGGCAGGUGGAAUUCCGGGUGUAGCGGUGGAAUGCGUAGAGAUCCGGAGGAACACCGGUGGCGAAGGCGGCCUGCUGGGCAGUAGCUGACGCUGAUGCGCGACAGCGUGGGGAGCAAACAGG
rnacentral:rRNA from 1 species